UCUCUGGUAGCUCAGAGGGUAGAGCGUCUGCCUGCAGUGCGGGAGACCCGGGUUCAAUCCCUGAGUUAGGAA
rnacentral:tRNA from 1 species